rnacentral:rRNA from 1 species
AGAGUUUGAUCAUGGCUCAGGACGAACGCUGGCGGCAUGCCUAAUACAUGCAAGUCGAACGGAAAGGCCACCUUCGGGUGGCACUCGAGUGGCGAACGGGUGAGUAACACGUGGGUAACCUGCCUUUGACUGGGGGACAACCGGGGGAAACUCCGGCUAAUACCGCAUGAUGUGCAGUGUCACGAGGCGCUGUACCAAAGAUAGCUUCGGCUUUCGGUCAAAGAUGGGCCCGCGGCAGAUUAGCUUGUUGGUGGGGUAACGGCCUACCAAGGCGACGAUCUGUACUGGUCUGAGAGGACGAUCAGCCACACUGGAACUGAGACACGGUCCAGACUCCUACGGGAGGCAGCAGUAGGGAAUCUUGCGCAAUGGGCGAAAGCCUGACGCAGCAUGCCGCGUGAGGGAAGACGGCCUUAGGGUUGUAAACCUCUUUCAGAUGGGACGAAGCUUCUGGGGUUAAUAGCCUCAUGGAGUGACGGUACCUUCAGAAGAAGCCCCGGCUAACUACGUGCCAGCAGCCGCGGUAAUACGUAGGGGGCACGUGUCCGGAAUCAUUGGGCGUAAAGAGCGUGUAGGCGGCCCGAAAGUCUGGUGUGAAACUUGAGGCUCACCUCAAGCUGUCACUGGAUACUGUCAG